GAGCACCUGACUUGUAAUCAGGGGGUUGUGGGUUCAAGUCCUAUUGCCGGCA
rnacentral:tRNA from 1 species